rnacentral:rRNA from 1 species
AGACCCUAUGGAGCUUUAAACUUAUUACCACUUAUUUAACCAUGUAACAGCUUAGAUAAUAAUAAUGCUCUCUAAUAGUUUUCGGUUGGGGCAACCCUGGGGGAAAAUAAAUCCCCCAGAUUGAAAAAAAUAAUCCUUAUAUAAGAACUACAGUUCAAAUAAACAAAAUUUUGACAAAACUGACCCAGUUAGCUGAUCAGUGAACCAAGUUACCCUAGGGAUAACAGCGCUAUCCAUUUUGAGAGUCCAUAUUGACAAAUGGGUUUACGACCUCNAUGUUGGAUCAGGGUAUCCUAGCAGUGCAGCCAUUGCUAAUGGUUCGUUUGUUCAACGACUAACACCCUACGUGAUCUGAGUUCAAACCNGA